CAAACGACUCUCGGCAACGGAUAUCUCGGCUCACGCAUCGAUGAAAAACGUAGCAAAAUGCGAUACUUGGUGUGAAUUGCAGAAUCCCGUGAACCAUCGAGUUUUUGAACGCAAGUUGCGCCCAAAGCCAUUUGGUUGAGGGCACGUCUGCCUGGGCGUCACGC
rnacentral:rRNA from 1 species